GCAUCUAUGGCGGAAUUGGUAGACGCGCACGCUUGAGGGGCGUGUGAUUCAUAUCGUGCGAGUUCAAGUCUCGCUAGAUGCACCA
rnacentral:tRNA from 1 species